rnacentral:rRNA from 1 species
GACGAACGCUGGCGGCGUGCUUAACACAUGCCAGUCGAACGGAAAGGCCCCCAUCUUGGUGGGGGUGCUCGAGUGGCGAACGGGUGAGUAACACGUGGGUGAUCUGCCCUGUACUUCGGGAUAAGCUUGGGAAACUGGGUCUAAUACCGGAUAGGACCAUGGUUUAGUGUCUGAUGGUGGAAAGAUUAUUGUUUUGGUGCAGGAUGAGCUCGCGGCCUAUCAGCUUGUUGGUGGGGUAAUGGCCUACCAAGGCGUCGACGGGUAGCCGGCCUGAGAGGGUGGACGGCCACAUUGGGACUGAGAUACGGCCCAGACUCCUACGGGAGGCAGCAGUGGGGAAUAUUGCACAAUGGGCGCAAGCCUGAUGCAGCGACGCCGCGUGGGGGAUGACGGCCUUCGGGUUGUAAACUCCUUUCGUUAGGGACGAAGCCGCACUUUUUUUGGGUGUGGUGACGGUACCUUUGUUAAGAAGCACCGGCUAACUACGUG